UACGAAGGGGGCUAGCGUUGCUCGGAAUCACUGGGCGUAAAGAGCGUGUAGGCGGCUCGGUAAGUCCGCUGUAAAAGUCAAAGGCUCAACCUUUGAAUGUCAGUGGAUACUGCCGGGCUAGAGUCCGGAAGAGGCGAGUGGAACUCCUGGUGUAGCGGUGGAAUGCGCAGAUAUCAGGAAGAACACCUAUGGCGAAGGCAGCUCUCUGGGACGGUACUGACGCUGAGACGCGAAAGCGUGGGGAGCGAACAGG
rnacentral:rRNA from 1 species